rnacentral:rRNA from 1 species
UACGGAGGGGGCAAGCGUUGUUCGGAAUUACUGGGCGUAAAGGGCUCGUAGGCGGCCAACUAAGUCGGACGUGAAAUCCCUCGGCUUAACCGGGGAACUGCGUCCGAUACUGGAUGGCUUGAGUUUGGGAGAGGGAUGCGGAAUUCCAGGUGUAGCGGUGAAAUGCGUAGAUAUCUGGAGGAACACCGGUGGCGAAGGCGGCAUCCUGGACCAACACUGACGCUGAGGAGCGAAAGCCAGGGGAGCAAACGGG